CUGCUCCCUGCUCCCUGCUCCCUGCUCCCUGCUCCCUGCUCCCUGCUCCCUGCUCCAGCAGGGCCAUCCCGAGCACAGGGCUGGGCCAGGAAGGCCUUGCUCCAUUCAAUAAACCCUGGAUCCCUCUGGCUCCCGAGAAACCGUGUCCUGCUGCUGGCUGUACUCGGGUCAGACAUUUCCUGAGGUCGGGGGAGAAGCACCAGGGGAGCAGAUAGCCCCUGCCAGGAACGAGGGAGAUGUGCAGGCAAGGAGAAUGUGCUUUAUUUCCCUCCAUCCUGUCAGAAAUGAUUGCCUUUACUGGGAUCAAUCCAAGCAUCCUUCACAACCCGCACAGAGGACUUUGGUAGAUUUAUUUUCUCAGCCUGCUUGUUCAAGCCUGUUAUUAAUCCCCUCAUCAGCUCAGCUCACUGGAAGAAAACAGAGCUUCUUAAAGAGUUCUUACUGCAAAUAAAUGCCUCAUUAAGUUAAACACA